CCUACGGGAGGCAGCAGUGGGGAAUCUUGCGCAAUGGGCGAAAGCCUGACGCAGCCAUGCCGCGUGAAUGAUGAAGGUCUUAGGAUUGUAAAAUUCUUUCACCGGGGACGAUAAUGACGGUACCCGGAGAAGAAGCCCCGGCUAACUUCGUGCCAGCAGCCGCGGUAAUACGAAGGGGGCUAGCGUUGCUCGGAAUUACUGGGCGUAAAGGGAGCGUAGGCGGAUAGUUUAGUCAGAGGUGAAAGCCCAGGGCUCAACCUUGGAAUUGCCUUUGAUACUGGCUAUCUUGAGUGUGGGAGAGGUAUGUGGAACUCCGAGUGUAGAGGUGAAAUUCGUAGAUAUUCGGAAGAACACCAGUGGCGAAGGCGACAUACUGGCCCAUUACUGACGCUGAGGCUCGAAAGCGUGGGGAGCAAACAGGAUUAGAUACCCUGGUAGUCCACGCUGUAAACGAUGAGUGCUAGCUGUCGGCAGGCAUGCCUGUCGGUGACGCAGCUAACGCAUUAAGCACUCCGCCUGGGGAGUACGGUCGCAAGAAUUAAAACUUAAAGGAAAUUGACGG
rnacentral:rRNA from 1 species